UUCCAUAGCUAAUGAAAUCAUUUUCUCAUAAAAUAUGGAAACCUGAGACUAAUCCUCUGAAACAAGGUGUCCUAAAAACAUGGCAACACAUUAUUAAAACAUAAAGUAGGGGCCUGGUAACUGUAAUUUGUUAUUUUCCAUUGUACAUUGACUUUUUUCCACCAAAAACAAGCUCUUGUGUAGUCUACUAUGUUUUUUAACGUCCAGUAAAAUAAUUGGAUAUAUAUUUCCUUUUGGAAAUCAUAACUGUAGUCAUUAAGCAGAAAAAUCAAAAGCUCAAGGAUGAUUCUGCACAAAAAAAAAGUUGUUGAGUUAUCAGGUAGUUUCUCAAGACUCCUACAGUAGAUGAGACUACACAAGGACACUUUUAAUCCAAAGGCAGAGAAAACACUAAUAGAGGAGCCAUUCUAGACUUAAUUCUGAAUGCAAAGAAAGAAGCGAUUGGACAUGUGGAAACCUCAGGAAACUUGAGCCAAACUGACUAUAUUAUCCUGGAAUGUGUGAAAUAGAGGAAGAGGACACGAGGCAGAGUCAGGCAUAAGCUGGAGACUUCAGGAAAGUAGAUUUCAAAACAUGAAAAAGAGAAGAAUUAGGGCAUCUUCACUCAAGGAUGCACAAAGAGAAUGAAAUGAUUUGUGAAGAAAGACAGGAAAUGAAAUCUGACUAUAUGCAUUAAACAAUCUCAAUGCCACACAAAAUGUACCCCAAGAACUGUGAUUUCGAGAGUUCUCUCUGAGCACAAAUCAAGCCAAUUAAAAAGGGAUGGGGACACUGGAAGGAGAAACACAAAGCCAAAAUGAAUAGAAGACAGUCAGGUGACUCUGCUCUCACAGUGCCAUAGCAUUCAUAAGGUCCAAUA